CAACUGUACGAGGUUCAAUAAGAUCAAGUGUUGGGCCCUGCACUUGGGUCACAAGAACCCCAUGCAGAGCUACAGAAUGACACGUGGCUG